GCAUAUCAAUAAGCGGAGGAAAAGAAACCAACAGGGAUUGCCCCAGUAACGGCGAGUGAAGCGGCAACAGCUCAAAUUUGAAAUCUGGCUUUCGGGCCCGAGUUGUAAUUUGUAGAGGAUGCUUUUGGCGCGGUGCCUUCCGAGUUCCCUGGAACGGGACGCCACAGAGGGUGAGAGCCCCCUACGGUCGGACACCAAGCCUCUGUAAAGCUCCUUCGACGAGUCGAGUAGUUUGGGAAUGCUGCUCUAAAUGGGAGGUAUAUCUCUUCUAAAGCUAAAUAUAGGCCAGAGACCGAUAGCGCACAAGUAGAGUGAUCGAAAGAUGAAAAGCACUUUGAAAAGAGGGUUAAAAAGUACGUGAAAUUGUUGAAAGGGAAGGGCUUGUGACCAGACUUGUGCCGGGUUGAUCAUCCGCGGUUCUCCCGCGGUGCACUCUCCCCGGUCCAGGCCAGCGUCGGUUCUGGGAGGGGGACAAAAGCUUGGGGAACGUGGCUCCUCCGGGAGUGUUAUAGCCCCUCGCCCAAUGCCUCUGCCGGGACCGAGGUUCGCGCUCUGCAAGGACGCUGCAAU
rnacentral:rRNA from 1 species